AACGAACGCUGGCGGCAGGCUUAACACAUGCAAGUCGAGCGCCCCGCAAGGGGAGCGGCAGACGGGUGAGUAACGCGUGGGAACGUACCCUUUGCUACGGAAUAGCUCCGGGAAACUGGAAUUAAUACCGUAUGUGCCCUACGGGGGAAAGAUUUAUCGGCAAAGGAUCGGCCCGCGUUGGAUUAGCUAGUUGGUGGGGUAAUGGCCUACCAAGGCGACGAUCCAUAGCUGGUCUGAGAGGACGAUCAGCCACAUUGGGACUGAGACACGGCCCAAACUCCUACGGGAGGCAGCAGUGGGGAAUAUUGGACAAUGGGCGCAAGCCUGAUCCAGCCAUGCCGCGUGAGUGAUGAAGGCCUUAGGGUUGUAAAGCUCUUUCACCGGAGAAGAUAAUGACGGUAUCCGGAGAAGAAGCCCCGGUUAACUUCGUGCCAGCAGCCGCCGUAAGAC
rnacentral:rRNA from 1 species